CCCGCGGCUCCUGGCAGCUCGUCCUUGGGUCCCCCGGCGUCCCGGGUGGGUGCCGCUCUAGCGAGAAGCAAGGAAUGAAUCAGGAAUGAGGUGGCGCUGCCAAAAAUAGCAAAUGGGAACUUGGGCUGCUGGAACAGAAGUCUGGGCCUUGGAGAGAGGAACGGGGUGGUGGUCUCAUCUCCCCUGUGCCAGUCAGGCCAUGCCAGGAGUUCUGGGUCUACUUGCAGAUACACUCUUUGAAAAAGGAUCUAGAAAAUUGGAGCUUGUCCAACAAAAAGUGACCAGGAUUGGGAGGGGGAGAGGGGACUUCAAAUCAUGUCUGAUGAGAAACAAUUAAAGGGACCACAGAGACUUCCCUGAAGAAGCUUCCGGGGUCCUGGCCCCUGGCUGUACCUGUCUGAAGGGCUUUUCUUGAGGAGAGGCAGUAGAUCUACUCUGUGUGACCCCCAAGGGGAGAGCUGAGGCAAAAAGACGGAAAUGACAGGAAGACACACUUGACUUAAGAAAGAACUUUCUGACAGUUUGGGUUGUUCAUCCACGGAACCUUGAUGGGUGGUGAUCUCCCUGAUACUAGAAGUGUGCAAGCAGAGGCUAUCUGGUGACUUGAUGAGAAUAUUGAAGAGAUAUUCGAGCAUAGGUUGGAGGUGGAAGUAGAUGCCUUUUAAAGUCUCUUUGGAUCCUUAAUUCUAAGGCUCCAUAAACAAACACAAAUGCAUAUGGAGUGUUGAUACAUUUUCUAUUUACCAGAGGGUCGUGGAUAAUUGAAUUUGCUCUCCCUGCAGAGUGAGCACUGUGGUGGCUUCACAGAGCCUGCAGCCAAGGACCGUGUACUCUAAUACUCUAAUGCAGAGAGCACCUAAUGGUCUCCCGUCUUUGAUUCUGCUUCCCUUUCUUCAUUUUUUCCAAUUAUGCCUCCAAAAAACCCUAAAACCCUCUCUUAAGCUCAGGGGAUAGAGAACUGGAAUGAGCAAAGCAGAGUCUUCUUCAGCAGGCGGGCAUGGGGAUAUGGCACCGCUGGACUAUGAAUCACCUUUGUCCUAUUUGCUUCACCCUUGAUCCACAAAGAGAUUUCCAGCCUCAAAUAUGUUACCCGGAGACACCACUCUACAGUUUUACCAGGCGUCCUCUUCCUACUUGGGGAGUGUCUGAUUCUCCACGUGCCAGACUUGGAAUCUGGGGGACAGGUAACUUCCCAGGGAGUGCACACACAAUGGUAUGGACAUUUCGAGAUCAAAUCCAUGAGCAAAUACUGUCAUCCUCUGGACAGAUUUUUGAGACCCCUCUCCCUGGUCCAACAGCCGAAUCUAGCAAGCAAACUGCAUAGGCUUGAAGUCAGUACAAUAAAAUCCACGCUGUCCUGUGCAGCAGCUAUGCAGGCCAUCUUCAGCCUGUGUCUGAAUGACCUUGCAACACCAUGCCUCAUUCGGAAGACGUCAGCUGGAGACAUCCGCAACAGGAAGAGAUAAAGGGUACCCAGCUCCUGCAUCCACAGCUGCAUUUCUUGGAGAUUGAGGGAAUAAAUAAUGACCCUGGUCCUUGCCUCCCUCCACUCAUAGAUAACCUCAGCAUCUCUGAACUUGUUUGAUGUAGAACCAAGGAAUUCUUGUUUACGUUACCUUCAAUGUAUAAUCUAGAGGAAAACCCAGAUAUGCCCUCUCCCUUUUUGGACAUGUAGGAUAUCUGGUUGUAAGUUCUUUUUCCUUUUCCCUGCACAUGCACCGUUUGUGAAAGAGAUAUUAGCUGCACUUGAACUCACAUCCCUCGCAGCAGUUCCAUCGGAGCACUCUGUUGAACUUCUUUCCCAGGGUUAAAUUUCUGAGGCUGAUUAUUGAAUAAAC
ensembl:lncRNA